UGUUAUGCUUUCAGAAGAACAAUAAAGUGGAUAUCUCACAAGAUCUGUCCCAAAACCUAGUGAUCAAUGGCAGCAUCUCAUGUAUCUUUAUUGUAUUUACGUGUUGUAUUGUUAGUUUUAAAUCAAUAUGAGUUAAUACAUUUUCUCUGCUUUUCACAUGAGCAGUGGUAUUUGAGUUGCUGUCUUGUUCCAAAUCACACAUGAUCUGAAGGGAAAAUCUGCAUGAUGUAUUUCAGCUUGUUAAAUGAAUGACCGUAUUCCAGUUCUGUGGGAAUCCGAGGAGUUUUUGAGGGUACAUCAUUACUGUGGGCCUGCCAAUUUCUUUUCAUCUCAGAAGGUCGCUGCCUACUCAAUUUGGAAUGGCGCUAUAAAGUUGUCGUUUAUAGUCAAACAGCAUUUACCCUGUCAGGAAGUAAUGUGUUUGUUCUGCAGGUCUUGUUGGAGCUCCCCGUGGGCUGAUGGGAUUGUUGCCGAACAGAUUGUGCAGGUGUAAGAGGAGCGCUCCUCAACGACGUGGCACCUGUCCAAAGCACUCAACAGCGACACACGGGCCUCCGAGACAUGACUGAACGCAAAGAGAACUGCUGCUGCUAUAAAACACCAUCACAUCUCAACACUUUGAAUUACCGUAAAAUGUGCUCUAUCAGUAAACUGGCCUCGCCGUGCUACCUGGAAAUGAAAGUCUGAUAGGGACCCACCCGAAGGACGCUCUAUGAUCACAGCUCUGUGUUUUCCUCAGUAGUUCCUUCUGCUAUGAGUAGCAUUUACACAGAGACAUUCGCUAAUCGCUACAAUAAGAGACAUCUGCUUAUUACCUGAUAAUAAUGAUUAUUGCUCUUUUGUGGUUAUGUGCAGCCAGCGGAGCAUCCAUUUCUACAGGGCCUCGUGGUUUAUGGCUGAUACAAGCAAACUUAUGGCAAUUUUUCCUUGUGGUACAAAAGAACACUUCAAGUAAUCACUGCUAUAAAGACCAAAGGACCAUAGUGCAUUGAUGCAAGGUCACAUGGUUUAUUUGACCUUUUUACAUGGUUUAUUUUAUUGCUUUGAUGAAGCUUAAAUCAGUUUUAUAUGGUGGUAAUGCCAUGUAUUACGCUGUCAAUGGCCUUGAUUUUAUAUCCAUAUCAUUUUAAUUCAUAAGCAAUAAGCAAAACCUAAUUUUUGAGCCUUACACCAGAUCUGAUGGGACUCUUUUCCUCGAAUGAAGCUUAGGGCACUUAACAUGUCUCAUAAGUUUCAUAUCUGGUUGAAUUGCGUUUCUCAUUUGGAGGAGGGUCGUUCCUGAUCCUGCUUUACAGUAUUGCAUAAGAGUUUAAUGUUGCUAAGAUGUUUUUAAAAGAAGUCUCUUCAGCU